rnacentral:rRNA from 1 species
UACGUAGGGUGCGAGCGUUGUCCGGAAUUACUGGGCGUAAAGAGCUUGUAGGUGGUUUGUCGCGUUGUUUGUGAAAUCUCACGGCUCAACUGUGAGCGUGCGGGCGAUACGGGCAGACUAGAGUACUGCAGGGGAGACUGGAAUUCCUGGUGUAGCGGUGGAAUGCGCAGAUAUCAGGAGGAACACCGGUGGCGAAGGCGGGUCUCUGGGCAGUAACUGACGCUGAGAAGCGAAAGCGUGGGGAGCGAACAGG